rnacentral:antisense_RNA from 1 species
GACCAGGGAAGUCACCCCACGGCUAUGGGGAAAUUAGCCUGAGACUUAGCUUUCAUUAUCACUGUCUCCCAGGGUGUGCUUGUCAAAGAGAUACUCUGCCAAGCCAGAUUCGGGUGCUCCCAUCUUGCGCAAGUUGGUCACGUGGUCACCCAAUUCUUUGAUGGCUUUCACCUGCUCAUUCAGGGCACUAAUAUACACAUGAUGAUACUUAAUUCUCUCAGAAAACUUUGGCAAAGACACUGUCUACAUCUUGAAGGCAAGGAAUCUGAAUCUUGAAGAGAUUAAAUGAAUUGUCCAAAGUCACGUGGGGGUUUGGGAGAAGGAAAAUCAUGAACACACAUUCUUCUACUCUGGAGAAGUGGGGAAGGUGACCUGGGAAACCAUCUGAAAGGGAGCAGGAUGGAUUCUAUAAAAUAUAGAGUGUUCAAUGAAAACAACCUGAUGCUCAUCCCAGUACCAUCACAUUUUUCUAGCUGCAUAUCCUUAGGUAAGUCAAUGUCUGAAUUUCAGUUUCCUCACUGUUAAAUGGGAUAAUAAGCUUUACCUUACAGGAUUA